rnacentral:tRNA from 1 species
GUUUAAAUAGCUUAUAUAGAGCAUAACACUGAAGAUGUUAGGGAGAUUUUAGGAUCUUUGGACA